rnacentral:tRNA from 1 species
GGAGAUGUACUCAAGUGGUGAAGAGAUCGCUCUCGAAAAGCGACAGGUCGGCACAACCGGCGCGAGGGUUCGACCCCCUCCAUCUCCG